GUAGUCCACGCCGUAAACGAUGAAUACUAGGUGUGGGGGUUGUCAUGACUUCCGUGCCGCAGUUAACACAAUAAGUAUUCCGCCUGGGGAGUACGGUCGCAAGAUUAAAACUCAAAGGAAUUGACGGGGGCCCGCAUAAGCAGCGGAGCAUGUGGUUUAAUUCGAAGCAACGCGAAGAACCUUACCUAGACUUGACAUCUCCUGAAUUACUCGUAACUGAGGAAGCCCUUCGGGGCAGGAAGACAGGUGGUGCAUGGUUGUCGUCAGCUCGUGUCGUGAGAUGUUGGGUUAAGUCCCGCAACGAGCGCAACCCUUGUUGUUAGUUGCUACCAUUAAGUUGAGCACUCUAACGAGACUGCCGCGGUUAACGCGGAGGAAGGUGGGGAUGACGUCAAAUCAUCAUGCCCCUUAUGUCUAGGGCUACACACGUGCUACAAUGGGGAGUACAAAGAGACGCAAAGCCGCGAGGCAGAGCAAAACUCAAAAACUUCUCCCAGUUCGGAUUGCAGGCUGAAACUCGCCUGCAUGAAGCCGGAGUUGCUAGUAAUCGCGAAUCAGAAUGUCGCGGUGAAUACGUUCCCGGGCCUUGUACACACCGCCCGUCACACCAUGAGAGUUGGCAAUACCCGAAGUCCGUGAGCUAACCGUAAGGAGGCAGCGGCCGAAGGUAGGGUCAGCGAUUGGGGGUGAAGUCG
rnacentral:rRNA from 1 species